GCUUCCUUAGCUCAGGGGAUAGAGCAACUGCCUUCUAAGCAGUGGGUCGUAGGUUCGAUUCCUACAGGGAGCGCCA
rnacentral:tRNA from 1 species